rnacentral:rRNA from 1 species
GUGGGGAAUAUUGGACAAUGGGGGGAACCCUGAUCCAGCCAUGCCGCGUGUGUGAAGAAGGCCUUUUGGUUGUAAAGCACUUUAAGCGAGGAGGAGGCUACCGAGAUUAAUACUCUUGGAUAGUGGACGUUACUCGCAGAAUAAGCACCGGCUAACUCUGUGCCAGCAGCCGCGGUAAUACAGAGGGUGCAAGCGUUAAUCGGAUUUACUGGGCGUAAAGCGCGCGUAGGUGGCCAAUUAAGUCAAAUGUGAAAUCCCCGAGCUUAACUUGGGAAUUGCAUUGGAUACUGGGUGGCUAGAGUAUGGGAGAGGAUGGUAGAAUUCCAGGUGUAGCGGUGAAAUGCGUAGAGAUCUGGAGGAAUACCGAUGGCGAAGGCAGCCAUCUGGCCUAAUACUGACACUGAGGUGCGAAAGCAUGGGGAGCAAACAGGAUUAGAUACCCUGGUAGUCC